AUGGAGCAUCUCCAGGACGGCCACCACGUGCGGCUGCGCAGCCACGUGUACGGCACGUACCUGCACGCCGACGAGGACGGGCAUGGCGUCUCUCACCGCGGCCGCCGGGCGUCGAUGAACGCGGCUUGGGUGGUGCACGUGUACCAGCCCCCCGAGGCGUUUGUGCCGUACCUACGCCUCCACAGCGCCGCCUAUGGCCGGUACCUCGCCGCCACGAACGUGCAGGCGCCGCGCGGGCUCCACGUCGAGCAGCGGGGCUGCGAGGUGGAGCCAAUCCCUUGGCGGGCCAUCCGGACGGAAUCUGGAGACGAAGUCUACCUCGAGCACUUCUACAGAGGCUGCCUCCGCGCCGACUGGAACACCGACGUCAGCGUCGACAAUGACGACCCCGAUAACCCCAACAGCCCGACGAUGCACUGGGUCGUGGAGCCCAUCCCCGCCACGCGGAGGAUACCUCCGGCUUGGCUGCACCCUUCCUUCAACCAAGACGAGUCGCUGUCGCGGGAAAUCACGUACGUGUGGCCGAACGUCGAGGGGGCCCUCGUCAACCACAACGUGUUCGUCUUCAGGGGGAGGUCCGUGUUCCAGCUGAGGCACGAGCUGGCCCGGCGGCUGGUGGUGGACGUCUCUCACCUCGCCAUGUGCCUCCCCACACGUUAUGGCCGGUUUUUCCCACUCGUCGUCGACCUGCCCCGCAACCAGCAGGCCCUCAUCGUCGUCGUCGACUUCGCGGGGACGCCUGCCCACGCGGCACUGCGCCUUCGCUCGCUCCUCCUCUUCUCCCCGUCGCCGGAGCGCCAAGAAACCAAGAACCUCCUCUUCUCUGCAGCGGUCGAGCGCACGCGACCGAUGGAGCAGUUCCAUCACGGCCACCACGUGCGGCUGCGCAGCAGCGAGCUCGGCACGUACCUGCACGCCGACGAGGACGGACAUGGCGUCUCCCUCCACCACCGCCGGGCGUCGAUGAAGGCGGCUUGGGCGGUGCACGUGUACCAGCCCCCAGAGGCGUUUGUGCCGUACCUGCUCCUCCACAGCGCCGCCUACGGUCGCUACCUCGCCGCCACGGACGAGCCGGCGCCGCAGGGCCACCACGGGCGCCGCGUCGAGCAGCGCAACUACGACCAUCCGGAGGUGGAUGCACAAGGAAUGAUUUGGCUGGCCGUCCUGACGGCAUCCGGAGACAAAGUCUUCCUCCGCAACUUCAACGGCGGCUGCCUCCGCGCCAACGGGAGGUACCGCCCCUGGAACAACGGCGCCAGUGUCGACGACGUCGACGUCAACGACAUCGGCAACCUCAGCACGAUGAUGCACUGGGUCGUGGAGGACAUCCCCGCCAGGGAGAUCAUGCCUCUCCUUCCACGCCCGGCUUGGCUUACCCUCCCCGCCGUCAUAUCGCCGUCGCGGGUGAUCGUGUACGUGUGGCUGGACGCCGACGGGACCGUCCUCAGCGAAGGCUCGUUCUCGUUCAGUGGGAGGUCCGUGUUCCGCCUGAGGAGCGAGCUGGCCAGGUGGCUCGCCGACAACGGCAUCGCAAUCGUGGACGCCCCCGACCUCGUCAUGUGCCUCCCCACCCGUGAUGGCCGCAUUUUCCCACUCGUCGUCGACCUGCCCCGCAGCCUCCAGCCCCUCCACAUCAUCGUCGUCAUCGUCGGGACGCCUGCCCACGAGGCGCUGCGGUAUGCGGAUGUCGAUGCAUAG
rnacentral:rRNA from 1 species